GUUUACGGCCAUACCACGUUGAAAACACCAGUUCUCGUCCGAUCACUGAAGUUAAGCAACGUCGGGCUCGGUUAGUACUUGGAUGGGUGACCGCCUGGGAACACCGAGUGCUGUAGACG
rnacentral:rRNA from 1 species